rnacentral:misc_RNA from 1 species
GCGUGGGUUCGAUUCCCAUCACC